AGAGUUUGUCCUGGCUCAGGAUGAACGUUGGCGGCGUGCCUAAUACAUGCAAGUCGAACGGUAAGGCGCCCUUCGGGGUGCUGGAGAGUGGCGGACGGGUGAGUAACACGUAACUGAUCUGCCCUUUAGACUGGGAUAACCUUUGGAAACAGAGGCUAAUACCGGAUGAUAAAUCGGUAGUUAGAGAGCCGGUAGUGAAAGUGAAAGCGCUAAGGGAUGAGGUUGCGGGCCAUCAGCUAGUUGGUGAGGUAAAGGCUCACCGAGGCGAUGACGGCUAGGGGACCUGAGAGGGUGGCCCCCCACACUGGGACUGAGACACGGCCCAGACUCCUACGGGAGGCAGCAGUAAGGGAUAUUGCACAAUGGGCGGAAGCCUGAUGCAGCGACGCCGCGUGGGUGAAGAAGGUUUUCGGAUCGUAAAGCCCUUUUCUAUGUGACGAGGAAGGACGGUAGCAUAGGAAUAAGUGUCGGCUAACUACGUGCCAGCAGCCGCGGUAAAACGUAGGACACGAACGUUAUCCGGAGUUACUGGGCGUAAAGAGCGCGUAGGCGGUUGGUUAAGUUACCUAUGAAAGAUACCGGCUAAACUGGUAUAAGUUGGGUGAAACUGGUCGACUAGAGAGAAAUAGAGGGAAGUAGAAUUCCGGG
rnacentral:rRNA from 1 species